ACCAGGAUGGCUGAGUGGUUUAGACAUUGGAAUUAAAGUCCAAUGAACAGUAUGUUCUUGUGGGUGCCAACCCCAUUCCUGGAA
rfam:Salmo salar isolate Sally breed double haploid chromosome ssa27, whole genome shotgun sequence.